CUUACGGGAGGCAGCAGUGGGGAAUAUUGCACAAUGGGCGCAAGCCUGAUGCAGCGACGCCGCGUGAGGGAUGACGGCCUUCGGGUUGUAAACCUCUUUCAGUAGGGAAGAAGCCGUAAGGUGACGGUACCUGCAGAAGAAGCGCCGGCUAACUACGUGCCAGCAGCCGCGGUAAUACGUAGGGCGCAAGCGUUAUCCGGAAUUAUUGGGCGUAAAGAGCUCGUAGGCGGUUUGUCGCGUCUGCCGUGAAAGUCCGGGGCUCAACUCCGGAUCUGCGGUGGGUACGGGCAGACUAGAGUGAUGUAGGGGAGACUGGAAUUCCUGGUGUAGCGGUGAAAUGCGCAGAUAUCAGGAGGAACACCGAUGGCGAAGGCAGGUCUCUGGGCAUUAACUGACGCUGAGGAGCGAAAGCAUGGGGAGCGAACAGGAUUAGAUACCCUGGUAGUCCAUGCCGUAAACGUUGGGCACUAGGUGUGGGGGACAUUCCACGUUUUCCGCGCCGUAGCUAACGCAUUAAGUGCCCCGCCUGGGGAGUACGGCCGCAAGGCUAAAACUCAAAUGAAUUGACGGCUGAGACGNGCGAGACGACACGAGGAGAGG
rnacentral:rRNA from 1 species